rnacentral:rRNA from 1 species
GAUGAACGCUGGCGGCGUGCCUAAUACAUGCAAGUCGAGCGAACAGACGAGGAGCUUGCUCCUCUGACGUUAGCGGCGGACGGGUGAGUAACACGUGGAUAACCUACCUAUCAGACUGGGAUAACUUCGGGACACCGGAGCUAAUCCCGGAUAAUAUAUUGAACCGCAUGGUUCAAUAGUGAAAGACGGUUUUGCUGUCACUUAUAGAUGGAUCCGCGCCGCAUUAGCUAGUUGGUAAGGUAACGGCUUACCAAGGCAACGAUGCGUAGCCGACCUGAGAGGGGGGUCGGCCACACUGGAACUGAGACACGGUCCAGACUACUACGGGAGGCAGCAGUAGGGAAUCUGCCGCAAUGGGCGAAAGCCUGACGGAGCAACGCCGCGUGAGUGAUGAAGGUCUUCGGAUCGUAAAACUCUGUUAUUAGGGAAGAACAAAUGCGUAAGUAACUAUGCACGGCGUGACGGUACCUAAUCAGAAAGCCACGGCUAACUACGUG